rnacentral:rRNA from 1 species
AUGAACUCCUACUCCGGCGACCGGUCCUCCUCCCGUCCCACCACAACCUCCUUCGACUCCUACCAGUUUGACUUCGGGGCCAACGCCUCCCGCUCCUCCACCUCCCGCCCCCUCCGCGACCAGAGGCCAGGUGGCGCCACCAACCCUUCACCGAGGCCAACCACCACAAACACAUGGUCACACCAGCCGGUGAAGACGUCCUGGACUCAUCAGCCAUCCCCGUCCGCCGCCGCGGCGCUCGGAUCCGGGCCUGUGUCCAUGGUCGGCGACAUCUCCGGCCGGAGCUGGUCCGCCACUGCGCCCUCCUCCGGCAUCGGCCUCCCUCAGUCCAACAACCCCAACCUCUUCAGCGACCUCCUCGGGCCCGCGCUUGGAUCCACCCGAGCCCAGUCCAACGCGCCGCUCAGAUCAGCAGCGGCCCAGCCCUCCAAGCCGUCAAGCGCUAACCCUAGGACCAACAGCUCUUCCUUCUCGAUGGGCGGUAUGGCGAGCACGCUCCCGAAAACCACCGGGGCACCGAUAGCUUCUGGUAGUUAUGGGGUUGGUGGCCGGCCAAUGAAGCCGGUGGGCAUGGCGCCGGCGACCGCGUCACAGCCCACGGCGCAGAAGAAGGAUCCGUUCGGCUCCAUAGAUCCCUUCGCGGCGAAGCCUGGGUCUAUGAAUGCUGCAAAGCAGGCAGGUUCGGCCAAAUCGGAUCAGGGAUUUGGCGUGUUUCAGGGCGUGAGUUCGGGCGCCAACGCUGGAUUCAGUAGUUUCCAGAAAGCCGGUGCUGGAUCCAGUGGCUUCCAGAGUUCUGGUGCCACGAAGCCUUCCAAUGUUACGCCUCCGCCUGCACCCGCUCCAGCGCCUGUUUCUGCAGCGGUGAACUCUGGCGUGGAUCAUUUUGACACGCUGUUUCCUUCGUCCGCAUCUGCACCAACUGCUUCUGCGGCGAGUAAUGGUGGUGGUGACAUGUUUGGUGAGAUGGAUGGUUGGGUGGACGUGGAGUCGGAGUAUGUUGGUGGUGGUGAUAGCAGUGGCACAACCACAGAGCUGGAGGGAUUACCGCCACCACCCUCUGGGUUGACGGCAUCUGCUGCUAAGGCAAAAGGAAUGGAUAAUUACAAGGGUGGGCAGUAUGCUGAUGCUAUCAAAUGGUUGUCUUGGGCUGUUCUGCUCAUCGAGAAGACUGGGAAAAAUGCUGGUAUUGCAGAGGUGUUGUCAUCAAGGGCCUCGUCCUAUAAGGAGGUCGGCGAGUACAAGAAGGCUAUUGCCGACUGUUCGAAGGUGCUCGAGCAAGAUAAGGACAAUGUGUCGGUGCUAGUGCAACGUGCUCUCUUAUAUGAGAGCAGUGAGAAAUAUAGGCUUGGGGCUGAGGACCUGCGUUUGGUUCUGAAGAUUGACCCUGGGAAUCGUCUUGCCAGGAGUAUGAUUCAUCGAUUGAACAAAAUGGCUGACUAG